UCUUGGUGCGGAAAAGUGGUGUUUGAUGGAGUAGACUUUUAAGCAAGGGAUCUUUUGCAUCAAUCAUGGGUUGAGUUCCUUAGUUCUUUAGCUUGUAAUCGUGUCUUCAAGUGAUUGGUUCAUCCGAAAGGUUGUGGUCAUAACUUUUAGAGGGUUUUAGCCAUGGAAACCUGUAUGUAGCAGCAAUUUACAUGUGCCCGAGUGAUCAAAGCUGUACCGACUAACAGAAGAUUGCGUACCAGAUUAAAAACGUCUUCAGUGCACAAUUUUGUCUGUGAUUGUCUUCAACACAACUAUACCUAUAGUGUAGUGAGCUGGGGGAACCUGUGGAAUGUCUUACACGAAAAAGAACCAUUACAACUUUGCUUCACUGAGCUGCGAAAAAAGGUUUUGUCAAUCUGACACAAUCUGAUCCAGGUUGUUGUUAAUCCGGUCUGAUCCAGUCCCGGUUUUUGUCAAUCCAAUCCAAUCCAAUCCGGUCCU